GACGAACGCUGGCGGCGUGCUUAACACAUGCAAGUCGAACGGAAAGGCCCUGCGUUUGUGGGGUGCUCGAGUGGCGAACGGGUGAGUAACACGUGAGUAACCUGCCCUUGACUUUGGGAUAACUUCAGGAAACUGGGGCUAAUACCGGAUAUGAGCUCCUGCUGCAUGGUGGGGGUUGGAAAGUUUCGGCGGUUGGGGAUGGACUCGCGGCUUAUCAGCUUGUUGGUGGGGUAGUGGCUUACCAGGGCUUUGACGGGUAGCCGGCCUGAGAGGGUGACCGGCCACCUGGCGCCUGAGGUACGGCGCAGACUCGUACGGGCGGCAGCGGGCGGGAGUAUUGCACAAUGAGCGGGAGCCUGAUGCAGCGACGCCGCGUGCGUGAUGACGUCCUUCGGGGUGUAAACCGCUUUCGCCUGUAAUGAAGCGAGAGUGACGGUAAUGGGUAAAGAAGCACCGGCUAACUACGUG
rnacentral:rRNA from 1 species